AACGAACGCUGGCGGCAUGCCUAACACAUGCAAGUCGAACGAGACCUUCGGGUCUAGUGGCGCACGGGUGCGUAACGCGUGGGAACCUGCCUUUAGGUUCGGAAUAACUCAGAGAAAUUUGAGCUAAUACCGGAUGAUGUCUUCGGACCAAAGAUUUAUCGCCUUUAGAUGGGCCCGCGUUGGAUUAGCUAGUUGGUGGGGUAAAGGCCUACCAAGGCGACGAUCCAUAGCUGGUCUGAGAGGAUGAUCAGCCACACUGGGACUGAGACACGGCCCAGACUCCUACGGGAGGCAGCAGUGGGGAAUAUUGGACAAUGGGCGAAAGCCUGAUCCAGCAAUGCCGCGUGGGUGAUGAAGGCCUUAGGGUUGUAAAGCUCUUUUACCCGAGAUGAUAAUGACAGUAUCGGGAGAAUAAGCUCCGGCUAACUCCGUG
rnacentral:rRNA from 1 species